rnacentral:rRNA from 1 species
GGCAGCGCGGGGGCAACCCUGGCGGCGAGUGGCGAACGGGUGAGUAAUACAUCGGAACGUACCCAGAAGUGGGGGAUAACGUAGCGAAAGUUACGCUAAUACCGCAUACGUUCUACGGAAGAAAGCGGGGGAUCUUCGGACCUCGUGCUUUUGGAGCGGCCGAUGUCUGAUUAGCUAGUUGGUGAGGUAAAGGCUCACCAAGGCGACGAUCAGUAGCUGGUCUGAGAGGACGACCAGCCACACUGGAACUGAGACACGGUCCAGACCCCUACGGGAGGCAGCAGUGGGGAAUUUUGGACAAUGGGGGCAACCCUGAUCCAGCAAUGCCGCGUGAGUGAAGAAGGCCUUCGGGUUGUAAAGCUCUUUUGUCAGGGAAGAAACGGGUUUCGCUAAUACCGGAGCCUAAUGACGGUACCUGAAGAAUAAGCACCGGCUAACUACGUGCCAGCAGCCGCGGUAAUACGUAGGGUGCAAGCGUUAAUCGGAAUUACUGGGCGUAAAGCGUGCGCAG